AGAGUUUGAUUCUGGCUCAGGAUGAACGCUGGCGGCGUGCCUAAUACAUGCAAGUCGAGCGAACAGAUGAGGAGCUUGCUCCUUUGAUGUUAGCGGCGGACGGGUGAGUAACACGUGGGUAACCUACCUAUAAGACUGGGAUAACUUCGGGAAACCGGAGCUAAUACCGGAUAAUAUUUCGAACCGCAUGGUUCGAUAGUGAAAGAUGGCUCUGCUAUCACUUAUAGAUGGACCUGCGCCGUAUUAGCUAGUUGGUAAGGUAACGGCUUACCAAGGCAACGAUACGUAGCCGACCUGAGAGGGUGAUCGGCCACACUGGAACUGAGACACGGUCCAGACUCCUACGGGAGGCAGCAGUAGGGAAUCUUCCGCAAUGGGCGAAAGCCUGACGGAGCAACGCCGCGUGAGUGAUGAAGGUCUUCGGAUCGUAAAACUCUGUUAUUAGGGAAGAACAAACGUGUAAGUAACUGUGCACGUCUUGACGGUACCUAAUCAGAAAGCCACGGCUAACUACGUGCCAGCAGCCGCGGUAAUACGUAGGUGGCAAGCGUUAUCCGGAAUUAUUGGGCGUAAAGCGCGCGUAGGCGGUUUUUUAAGUCUGAUGUGAAAGCCCACGGCUCAACCGUGGAGGGUCAUUGGAAACUGGAAAACUUGAGUGCAGAAGAGGAAAGUGGAAUUCCAUGUGUAGCGGUGAAAUGCGCAGAGAUAUGG
rnacentral:rRNA from 1 species